GGGCCACAUCAUAUUGAAACACUGGUUCCCAUAUGAUCACUGAAGUUAAGCAAAUGUUGAGCUUGGUCAGUACCUAGAUGGGUGACUGAUUGGGGAUACCAGUUGGUGUA